CCUUAUUCAAAACUAACACGACUAUCCAGCGGUACUAAGAAAAGAUGUUGACGUACAUCGACGUAGGUAUUCCCUAAGUACUCUCUUCUGUUUAUAUUUUACAACUGUAUAUUGACAAUGAACACGGUCAACAAAAUGCAUAUAUUUAAGUACAACGCUCACGGAAACUGGUUAGUGUUUGUCCGGCAUUCGAGUGGGACGUUCGGCACAGCAACAUGAAGAUUAUUAUGUGUAUAUUUGGCCUUGCGGCCUUGGCCAUGGCUGGCGAGACGGAUCUGCAGAAGAUUUUACGAGAAAGCAACGACCAAUUUACAGCCCAGAUGUUUUCUGAAGUGGUAAAAGCGAACCCUGGUCAAAACGUCGUGUUGUCUGCAUUCUCCGUCCUGCCACCAUUGGGCCAACUGGCUUUGGCUUCCGUAGGUGAAUCACACGACGAACUGCUAAGAGCUUUGGCUUUACCCAACGACAAUGUGACGAAAGAUGUAUUUGCGGAUCUAAACCGUGGUGUGCGAGCUGUCAAAGGAGUCGAUCUGAAGAUGGCCAGUAAAAUCUACGUAGCAAAAGGUCUUGAACUAAAUGAUGACUUCGCGGCAGUAUCAAGAGACGUUUUCGGUUCUGAAGUCCAAAAUGUAGACUUUGUAAAGAACGUUGAAGCAGCCGGCGCGAUUAACAAAUGGGUUGAAGAUCAAACCAACAAUCGCAUCAAAAAUUUAGUCGACCCAGAUGCGUUGGACGAAACAACACGCUCCGUUCUCGUCAAUGCUAUAUACUUCAAGGGUAGCUGGAAAGACAAGUUUGUCAAGGAAAGAACAAUGGACAGAGACUUCCAUGUUUCCAAAGACAAAACAAUUAAAGUGCCUACGAUGAUCGGUAAGAAGGAUGUCCGUUACGCUGAUGUUCCUGAACUUGAUGCUAAGAUGAUUGAAAUGUCAUAUGAGGGUGACCAAGCAUCUAUGAUUAUUAUAUUACCGAACCAAGUAGACGGAAUCACAGCACUGGAACAAAAACUGAAGGAUCCUAAAGCUCUUUCAAGAGCUGAGGAGCGUUUGUACAACACUGAAGUUGAAAUUUACCUUCCAAAAUUCAAAAUUGAAACAACUACCGAUCUGAAAGAAGUUCUUAGUAACAUGAACAUCAAAAAAUUGUUCACUCCAGGAGCAGCUAGACUAGAGAAUCUUUUAAAAACAAAGGAAUCUUUAUAUGUAGAUGCGGCUAUACAAAAAGCUUUUAUCGAAGUCAACGAAGAAGGUGCAGAAGCUGCGGCUGCUAACGCUUUCAUCGCUGUCGUAGAUUCAAUAGAUAUUUUUGAGCGUACUAUUGAAUUUCACGCAGACAGACCGUUUUUCUUCAACUUAAAAGCCAAUGGUCAAUCUCUAUUCAACGGAAUAUGUGUCAUGCCGAUGCUUUAACCUUUAACGCUUUCUUCAUCGUAGGCAUAACAUCAAUACAAUUUGAACCACCUGUUAUCGAAUUUCACGUAAACAGACCUUUCUUCUUCAAUUUAAAAGCCAGUGGACAGUCCCUGUUUAACGGGAUUUGUGUUCAACCAUAAACCGAUAUAUUGUUAUCAUUAAGAAACAUUAACAAUAACGUCCGGUUGGAAUGUAAUCAAAUCACUUUUAUACAAACAAUAAACAUUUUCUUACUGAUACA
rnacentral:misc_RNA from 1 species